AGUGAACGCUGGCGGUAGGCCUAACACAUGCAAGUCGAACGGCAGCACAGGAGAGCUUGCUCUCUAGGUGGCGAGUGGCGGACGGGUGAGGAAUACAUCGGAUUCUGCCCAGUCGUGGGGGAUAACGUAGGGAAACUUACGCUAAUACCGCAUACGACCUUCGGGUGAAAGAGGGGGAUCGCAAGACCUCUCGCGAUUGGAUGAGCCGAUGUCGGAUUAGCUAGUUAGCGGGGUAAUGGCCCACCAAGGCGACGAUCCGUAGCUGGUCUGAGAGGAUGAUCAGCCACACUGGAACUGAGACACGGUCCAGACUCCUACGGGAGGCAGCAGUGGGGAAUAUUGGACAAUGGGCGCAAGCCUGAUCCAGCCAUACCGCGUGGGUGAAGAAGGCCUUCGGGUUGUAAAGCCCUUUUGUUGGGAAAGAAAUCUUUCAGGCUAAUACCCUGGGAGGAUGACGGUACCCAAAGAAUAAGCACCGGCUAACUUCGUG
rnacentral:rRNA from 1 species